rnacentral:pre_miRNA from 1 species
UGAUGAUGGUGGUGGUGGUGGUGGUGGUGGUGGUGAUGAUGAUGAUGAUGAUGAUCAUCAUCGUCGUCGUCGUCAUCAUCAUCAUCAUCAUCAUCA